GAUGAAGAACGUAGCGAAAUGCGAUACGUAAUGUGAAUUGCAGAAUUCAGUGAAUCAUCGAAUCUUUGAACGCACAUUGCGCCCCCUGGUAUUCCGGGGGGCAUGCCUGUUCGAGCGUCAUUUCACCACUCAAGCCUCGCUUGGUAUUGGGCAUCGCGGUCCGCCGCGCGCCUCAAAUCGACCGGCUGGGUCUUCUGUCCCCUAAGCGUUGUGGAAACUAUUCGCUAAAGGGUGUUCGGGAGGCUACGCCGUAAAACAACCCCAUUUCUAAGGUUGACCUCGGAUCAGGUAGGGAUACCCGCUGAACUUAAGCAUAUCAAUAAGCGGAGGA
rnacentral:misc_RNA from 1 species